UACGUAGGCAGCGAGCGUUGUUCGGAAUUACUGGGCGUAAAGAGUGUGUAGGCGGUGCUCUAAGUUCGGUGUGAAAUCUCCUGGCUUAACUAGGAGGGUGCGCCGGAAACUGGGGUGCUCGAGCGUGGGAGAGGAAAGCGGAAUUCCUGGUGUAGCGGUGAAAUGCGUAGAUAUCAGGAGGAACACCUGUGGUGUAGACAGCUUUCUGGACCAUUGCUGACGCUGAGACACGAAAGCGUGGGUAGCAAACAGG
rnacentral:rRNA from 1 species